rnacentral:precursor_RNA from 8 species
UGUGCGAUUUUUUGUCUAGCGUCUCGCUGUCUCAAGUGAGGUCAGUGCUGCUGUGUUUUCUAACAGGGGCACUGUCUUCAAUUGAAACCGUUGGACCGGAACUCACCAUCAAUUUCAC